CUACGGGUCGCACCAGUGGGGAAUAUUGGACAAUGGGGGAAACCCUGACGCAGCGACGCCGCGUGGAUGAUGAAGGCCUUCGGGUCGUAAAAUCCUGUCAGAUGGAAAGAAAUGCCAGAUGUCUAAUAUAUGUCUGGUUUGACGGUACCAUCAAAGGAAGCACCGGCUAACUCCGUGCCAGCAGCCGCGGUAAUACGGAGGGUGCAAGCGUUGUUCGGAAUUACUGGGCGUAAAGCGCGCGUAGGCGGCUAUUUAAGUCAGAUGUGAAAGUCCACGGCUCAACCGUGGAAGUGCAUUUGAUACUGGGUAGCUCGAGUACUGGAGGGGAUGGUGGAAUUCCCGGUGUAGAGGUGAAAUUCGUAGAUAUCGGGAGGAAUACCGGUGGCGAAGGCGGCCAUCUGGCCAGAUACUGACGCUGAGGUGCGAAAGCGUGGGGAGCAAACAGGAUUAGAUACCCGCGUAGUC
rnacentral:rRNA from 1 species